rnacentral:lncRNA from 1 species
GUCAAAGCCUGUUUCCAGAAAAGCCCAUCAGUAUCUUUUGUCUCUUCCAACUCUUCAGUUUGAGGGGAAUAAGUCAUCGCUAGUCAAUGCCUGAUUCCACAGAUGCAUAUCAGCUGCUCUUACAUGCACCAUGAAGAUACCGAGGAG